rnacentral:rRNA from 1 species
UACGUAGGGUGCAAGCGUUGUCCGGAAUUAUUGGGCGUAAAGAGCUCGUAGGCGGUCUGUCGCGUCGGCUGUGAAAUCCCGAGGCUCAACCUCGGGUCUGCAGUCGAUACGGGCAAACUUGAGUGUUGCAGGGGAGACUGGAAUUCCUGGUGCAGCGGUGAAAUGCGCAGAUAUCAGGAGGAACACCGGUGGCGAAGGCGGGUCUCUGGGCAACAACUGACGCUGAGGAGCGAAAGCGUGGGGAGCGAACAGG